UACGGAAGGCAGCAGUGGGGAAUAUUGCACAAUGGGCGCAAGCCUGAUGCAGCCAUGCCGCGUGUAUGAAGAAGGCCUUCGGGUUGUAAAGUACUUUCAGUCGUGAGGAAGGUGUUAAGGUUAAUAACCUUAGCAAUUGACGUUAGCGACAGAAGAAGCACCGGCUAACUCCGUGCCAGCAGCCGCGGUAAUACGGAGGGUGCGAGCGUUAAUCGGAAUUACUGGGCGUAAAGGGCACGCAGGCGGUUAAUUAAAGUUGGAUGUGAAAUCCCCGGGCUUAAACCUGGGAAUGGCAUUCAAGACUGGUUAGCUAGAGUCUUGUAGAGGGGGUAGAAUUCCAUGUGUAGCGGUGAAAUGCGUAGAGAUGUGGAGGAAUACCGGUGGCGAAGGCGGCCCCUGGACAAAGACUGACGCUCAUGUGCGAAAAGCGUGGGGGAGCAAAACAGGAUUAGAUACC
rnacentral:rRNA from 1 species